AUCUAGGCUGUAACCAGCUCCCUGUUACCCUCAAUGAUAUCGUGGUGAAUAUCUUAGUGCAUGAUGCUUCAUGGAUUUACGUGACAACUUUUCUGGCAUUACUCAGAGUGCACUAUAUGACUUUCUACCCUCUGGCUGAUGCCUCUCCUUGGCUAGAGCCUACCAGAAGCCACAGGACAACUGAACCCGCAGAAUUAUGUUCACGUGGAUGACACGCCAGGGGAGCAGGAAAGUAAAAGGAGGCUAGAGUUCAACAGUGUGAUUUUGGCUCACUGCAACCUCUGCCUCCCAGAUUCAAGCGAUUUUCCUGCCUCGGCCUCCUGAGUAGCUGGGACUACAGG